UACGUAGGGGGCUAGCGUUGUCCGGAAUUAUUGGGCGUAAAGCGCGUGUAGGCGGCUUUGCAAGUCGGGUGUGAAAGCCCUCAGCUCAACUGAGGAAGUGCGCCCGAAACUGCAGAGCUUGAGUGCCGGAGAGGGUGGCGGAAUUCCCCAAGUAGAGGUGAAAUUCGUAGAUAUGGGGAGGAACACCGGUGGCGAAGGCGGCCACCUGGACGGUAACUGACGCUGAGACGCGAAAGCGUGGGGAGCAAACGGG
rnacentral:rRNA from 1 species